AACCCAUGGUUAGGACAUUUCCUAAGCAAGGACUGAAAACGUUCUCAAGCUUCAUAGAAUGCUUCAUCUUGACCUUGUCUAAAAAUAGAGAUAUCAGAUUUUGUACU